CUCAUUAUGAAGAAACUGUGAUAACCAUUAUCUCCUUUAUCCGCGUGAGCCCCGGCCGGGAUGAAGGGACCAGGACGCGCCAUUCAGCGUGAGCGCGGCAGACGCUUCCAUUCGGCCCCCAGCUCUGCUUCCCCCGGAGCAGACGCCGGCGCCAUUUGCACAAGGCUGUGCUGUCGGCGUUUGCGGUUCCGUUCUGUUACCAGCUCUCGUUACCAACACAUGCAGAGGGAAACUCCUGCUUCAGUGGAACUCAGCCGCCUUGCUCGUAGUUUUGCCACUCAGAAGCAAAGUUCCCCAAGGCCCUCGGCGGAGACGCCAGCGAGAACCUGGAGCAAGCCUGGCCAGGGGCUGCCCGACAGCAGGGCGGGCACAGCCCAGGCGGCUGUGUCAUCUGUUACCCAUCAGCCAUGUUUUCCGGCAUUUUCCUUCCGUCCACCAGCCCAGGACCCCUCAGGAGCCCCACAGUGCCAGAGACGCAAGGACAGAACUCGGUGGGCGAGAAGGCAAAGGAGGAGGAAGACUCCCAGAGGAAGGAGUGGAGAGGGUGAUGUCGCCCCAAAGUCGGGGGGCUGUGGGGGGAAUGCUGAAGGCCCCACCUGCCCCGACCUGUGCUCACCUGUGCCCACCUGACCUGACCUGUGCUCAUCUGCCCCCACCUGCCCCCUCCUGCUGUACCUGCCCCCACCUGUGCCCACCUGACGUGACCUGCCUCCACCUGCCCUAUCCUGAUCUAUCCUUCCCCCACCUGCCCCCUCCUGCCCCCUCCUGCCCCCACCUGCCCCCUGCCCCCUCCUGCUGCUCUUCCCCUCACCAUGCCAGCAGCAAGAGGGGACAGGGCGGGAGGAGCCGGUGUGGAAUCUCCCCCGACCCCUUCCCCUGGACAGUGCCGGCUCUGUAGUGUGGUAUACACUUUCCUUGGCGUGCGAUUCGGCGUGGGACUCAGCAGUAUCUUUCUGGUUCAGCACAGACCGCCCCACGCCGGGAGGGCUUCGGUGCCCAGAGAGGUCUGGCCAGAUGCCCCAGGUCUCCAGCCCCCCUCGGCCAGGAGGGGCAGGGCGAGGCCCUGUCUGACUGCUUGGUGCUGGCGAUGAGGGUGUGGGCACUGCUGGAGGCUACUCUGUCUAA
rnacentral:lncRNA from 1 species